ACCCCAGUAAUGCAGUCAAACAAGUCUGGUUCUGGGAAAACCAGGCUCAUUGCAUGUGUGUAAAGUGGCAUUCCAGAUAAGCCUGUUCAGUCUGCACAUGCAAAUCAGGGACGUCUCUUUUUACCCUUAUUGUAUUUUUCAUUAAAAAGAAGGUUCUUCUUAGCAAAAGUCCAGAUAAGGCGGAAAGUGUCAUCCCUGAUUAGCACAUCUUAUCUGGGACGACACGUUACAUACAUGUUAUAAGCCUAUUUUUUCAAGCAUUGGUCUUAAACAAUGUCAUACAGUGUUAGCGAAAGUAAAUAACAGCUAUAUUUCCAAGUUUCAAACAAGCUAAUAGUGUCAGUUUGGUAAGAGUUGCAAAUCAGCAAGGUCAUUGAAAUCACAAUUGCAUGUCAAUUUUAAAUAAAAUAGGAUUUAAUGAAUAACAGAUUAGCAAACAGCUUGAAACGCAAUUACGUCAAUUUUGAGGAACAUUCAGGAUAUGAAACUGUUUGGUUCAGGAAAAAGUGAGAAAGAUAUAAAGAUAGUAUUUGGCUUCUAGCCUCUAUGUAAUAAAAAAUUUCACUUAUGAAAGAUAAUUUGUUUUAAGCUUGUGGUUGUUUGAAUGAAAAUGAUGUAUGUGCACAAAGAAGGUUUUCUAAGCUUUUGGUGUUUAUUUCAAUGAAAGAAAAUGAUACUAUUAGCUUACCAACAAUCUUAACAGUGGUGACCUGUCUACAGCAGCCAAUACUAUUAGCUUACCAACAAUCUUAACAGUGGUGACCUGUCCACAGCAGCCAAUACUAUUAGCUUACCAACAAUCUUAACAGUGGUGACCUGUCUACAGCAGCCAAUACUAUUAGCUUACCAACAAUCUUAACAGUGGUGACCUGUCUACAGCAGCCAAUACUAUUAGCUUACCAACAAUCUUAACAGUGGUGACCUGUCUACAGCAGCCAAUACUAUUAGCUUACCAACAAUCUUAACAGUGGUGACCUGUCUACAGCAGCCAAUACUAUUAGCUUACCAACAAUCUUAACAGUGGUGACCUGUCUACAGCAGCCAAUCCUUAGACCCUCUCCUUUGACUGGCUGCUCUAUACAGGUUGGACUGUACUCUGUGCAGUGGUGACCUGUCUACAGCAGCCAAUCCUUAGACCCUCUCCUUUGACUGGCUGCUCUAUACAGGUUGGACUGUACUCUGUGCAGUGGUGACCUGUCUACAGCAGCCAAUCCUUAAACCCUCUCCUUUGACUGGCUGCUCUAUACAGGUUGGACUGUACUCUGUGCAGUGGUGACCUGUCUACAGCAGCCAAUCCUUAAACCCUCUCCUUUGACUGGCUGCUCUAAACAGGUUGGACUGCACUCUGUGCAGUGGUGACCUGUCUACAGCAGCCAAUCCUUAAACCCUCUCCUUUGACUGGCUGCUCUAUACAGGUUGGACUGUACUAUGUGUACUACAAAAUUGUAAGAUAAUAAUUAGGCACUUGUUUAAAUUAAUUAACAUAAUCAAAGAUAUUGAGUGCUUGAUUGUCAUUCAAAUUUUUUUUAUGCCCCUGGUAGGGUGGCAUAUAGCAGUUGAACUGUCCAUCAGUCCGUUUGUCAGCCUGUGCGUCCGUGCGAAAACUUUAACAUUGGCCUUAACUUUUGCAAUAUUGAAGAUAGCAACUUUAUAUUUAGCAUGCAUUUGUAUCUCAUGAAGCUGCUCAUUUUGAGUGGUGAAAGGUCAAGGUCAUCCUUCAAGGUCUACAGUCAUAGAAUACAAUCCAAGCGAAGUAAUAAGCUUUAAAAGGGAGAUAAUUUUUAAACCUGCCAAAUGAUAUAUUGAAAUUUUAUUUCAAAGCGCCGCAAUAGGGGGCAUUGUGUUUCUAACAAACACAUCUCUUGUUGUUUGCUUGUUUCGUUAUUAUAAGUACAGCAUGUUUGUUCCGCAUAUGAACAUAAGUAUCCAAGGCAUUUUUGGGGUGAUAGUGAAAGUUGUCCCCUAAAAGAGUAAUGCUUUAGCCUCGUUAGACAUCACUCAUCUGGUAGUGCAACAUUAACUAUACCUUAAGUGCCAAUGAUAUGCAAAAAAGCCUCACUCUUGGAACACGGGGCUUACUGCAUGUGCAUAAUGCAGUCUGGACAGGCUAAUCAUCACAGACGUGUCAGGUUUUUAUGGAAUUUUUCGUUUUAAAAAGUUAUUUACAAAAUUCAGCCUUGAUGAGCCUGACACUUAAUGCGCAUGCAGUAAGCCCCUGUGUUCCCAGAGCGACACUUAUAUAAAAUGAAGAUUGCCAACAACAAUAACGCUGGCCCACUUUGGAUGGCUAGCCGAUGUCUUGCCCACUUAGUUGCUAGAAGUUAUCUUGCUUGCCAUGGCUAGAAGAUUUCUUGUCCAUUUGCAAUGGCUAGCAGAUGUCUUGCCCACUUGAGAUUGCUAGAAGAUAUCUUGCUUACUUGCCAUGGCUAGAAGAUUUCUUGUCCAUUUGCAAUGGCUAGCAGAUAUCUUGCCUACUUGUCAUGGCUAGCAGAUGUCUUGACCACUUGCCUUGGCUAGCAGAUAUAAUGCCCAUUUGCCAAGGCUAGCAGAUGUCUUGUCCACUUCCAAUGGCUAGCAGAUAUCUUGCCCACUUGCCAUGGCUAGCAGAUAUCUUGCCCACUUGCAAUGGCUAGCAGAUAUAUUGCCCACUUGCAAUGGCUAGCAGAUAUCUUGCCCACUUGCAAUGGCUAGCAAAUGUCUUUCCCACUUGCCAUGGCUAGCAGAUAUCUUGCCCACUUGCCAUGGCUUGCAGAUGUUUAACCCACUUGCCAUGGCUAGCAGAUAUCUUGUCCACUUGCAAUGGCUCGCAGACAUCUGGCCUAUUUGCCAAGGCUAGCAGAUAUCUGGUCCACUUGCCAUGGCUAGCAGAU